rnacentral:misc_RNA from 1 species
GAUGAAGAACGUAGCGAAAUGCGAUAAGUAAUGUGAAUUGCAGAAUUCAGUGAAUCAUCGAAUCUUUGAACGCACAUUGCGCCCCUUGGUAUUCCAAGGGGCAUGCCUGUUCGAGCGUCAUUAUAACCCUCAAGCUCAGCUUGGUGUUGGGGCCUGCUGCACUGGCAGCCCUUAAAAUCAGUGGCGGCGCCAUCUGGCUCUAAGCGUAGUAAUUCUUCUCGCUAUGAAGUCCUGGUGGAUGCUUGCCAUCAACCCCCAAUUUUUCUAUGGUUGACCUCGGAUCAGGUAGGGAUACCCGCUGAACUUAAGCAUAUCAAUAAGCGGAGGA